GACGAACGCUGGCGGCGUGCUUAACACAUGCAAGUCGAACGAUGAACCCGGAGCUUGCUCCGGUGGAUUAGUGGCGAACGGGUGAGUAACACGUGAGUAACCUGCCCUUGACUCUGGGAUAACUGCGGGAAACUGUAGCUAAUACCGGAUACGACCCUCGGCGGCAUCGCCAGGGGGUGGAAAGAAUUUCGGUAAAGGAUGGACUCGCGGCAUAUCAGCUAGUUGGUGAGGUAACGGCUCAACAAGGCGACGACGGGUAGCCGGCCUGAGAGGGUGACCGGCCACACUGGGACUGGGACCCUGCCCGGACUCCACCGGGAGGCAGCAGUGGGGAAUAUUCCACAAUGGGCGCAAGCCUGAUGCAGCAACGCCGCGUGAGGGAUGACGGCCUUCGGGUUGUAAACCUCUUUUAGUAGGGAAGAGGCGAAAGUGACGGUACCUGCAGAAAAAGAACCGGCUAACUACGUGCCAGCAGCCGCCGUAA
rnacentral:rRNA from 1 species